GUUUUUUUUCUUUUUUCUUCUUUCUCUUUUCGUUCCCCUCCCUUCAUCUUCCUUCUUCCUCUUCCGGUUCUCCUAGCCCUCUUCAACGCCGCCGCUGUCCUCUUGGCCGACGGUAGCAAGUGGGCUAGGAAGGGCCUAGGUCGGCCGCCGCCGUUGUAGGUGCAACUUGGGUCGGUGGCUGCCAGAGGGAUCAAAUCGUAAACGCAGCAAAGGUUUUUGGGGCCAAAGUGUAAUUUAGAGAAAAUAUUUGGGUCAAAAUGUAAUUUUGAGAAAUUGUGGGGGUCAAAUUGUAAUUUAUAAAAGUUACGGGGUUAAAAUAUACUUUUCAAAAAGUUAGGGUCAAAAUACUUUCUUUUUUUUGAAAAAAAAAAAACAUGAAACUUCCCGGACAAACUUCAAUCAUAUAUCUAUGAAAGUAGCUAAA